AUCCUUGUUCCAAAGACGGAGACGAAACACUGGGGCGACGAAGAAGACGACAAGCCUUUGGAGGACACGGCUACUUCGUCAACGUUGAGGCCUUGACCAUCGACGACACCAAAACGCUCAUCACUGCGGUUUUGUAAGAAAGUGGAGAUGGUAUUGAAGAGCCUCUCAACCGUCAAAAUCUAACAACAAUCCUACAGAUUGCUCUGCCCGUUUGUAAGAAAUUAGCCAUUUGAAGUAAAUUUGGAAUGAUGUCCAAGUGGCUAUCAAGGCUAUUGGAGCAUUUAAAGCCAACUGCAGUUGCUGAUGCAGGUUUGAUUUUCAAUGUGAAAAGUAAAAUGCUGUGACCACAUGACACUUCUUAAAGCUUUUGAAGGAUAGAAGGAUGCAAACCGUAAUGAAAAGAAUCCUGUCACCUUGCAAAUGACAGAGGAUAUGAGAAUGCAAUUUGUAGAUCUAUUUAGCAUUGGCUUUGUAAACAAAUUGAUGAAUACUAAUGUAAGUUCUUUAAGAUUUUCAAAUUUUAAAGCAUUUGAU